AGCUCACUAGUCGAGUGACACUGCGCCGAAAAUGUACCGGGGCUAAACAUAUUACCGAAGCUGUGGAUUGUCCUUUGGACAAUGGUAGGAGAGCGUUCUAAGGGCGUUGAAGCAUGAUCGUAAGGACAUGUGGAGCGCUUAGAAGUGAGAAUGCCGGUGUGAGUAGCGAAAGACGGGUGAGAAUCCCGUCCACCGAUUGACUAAGGUUUCCAGAGGAAGGCUCGUCCGCUCUGGGUUAGUCGGGUCCUAAGCUGAGGCCGACAGGCGUAGGCGAUGGAUAACAGGUUGAUAUUCCUGUACCACCUAUAAUCGUUUUAAUCGAUGGGGGGACGCAGUAGGAUAGGCGAAGCGUGCGAUUGGAUUGCACGUCUAAGCAGUAAGGCUGAGUAUUAGGCAAAUCCGGUACUCGUUAAGGCUGAGCUGUGAUGGGGAGAAGACAUUGAGUCUUCGAGUCGUUGAUUU
rnacentral:rRNA from 1 species